UAUAAGGUUGUCUUAAAAUCAACGGAUAAGACGUUGUAUCUUGAACAAAGAAAUGUUGCUCCGUCGCAACAUCCCCAAUCCAAAUUUUGACAUUUGGACAAGCUCCAUAUAAUUCGCCCCGUGUGUUAUUAGCUGCUCGUAUUGCCCAUCCAUGUUCCAUAUCAAUUGGCCAUUUUUGCUUCUUAUAAAGAUCUUUAGACAUGAGAUUUAUUUCAGAACCAUGGUCGACCAAAGCAACUAUUGGUUCUUCUAUAUCUCCUACCUUCACCAAUACCUCAGUAGUUGCUCUUGCCCAAUGCUUUCGAGUAUAAUGGCUCAAAGUUUCCAUUUCCUUGUCA
rnacentral:lncRNA from 1 species